rnacentral:lncRNA from 1 species
CCUCCGGGGCGAGGCUGCCCAUUGGGCUACCCGCGUCCCCAGGGCUGGUUCCAUCCCAUCCGCCUGCGCGGGGGCCGUCGUGGCUCCCGGGGCCCCAGUACCUGGGCAAGGGCCCUGGGCGCGUGGUUGGGAGUCCCCCGCCGCCCCGGGAGACGGGAGACUAAUGGGUGUUGUUGACGAGGCCAGGCACGCAGGCGGAGAAGAGCUGCCACUUGCCCCUCGCUCUCCAGGUGGACUCUGCGGUUUUUACCCCACGGCACAAAGUAGCCAGAAUACAAAAACUUCCUGUUUGCCACCCAGGCCUUCUCCAGCUACUGAGAACUUGUUCCGGUGAUGGAGCCUCAAAGGAAUUUGUGGAUUCCUCUCCCACAAGUGUCCAGGGGCAGGGGUGCUGUGAGAAUGUGCAGUUCACAAAGGGAGUGAGAAUGGCAGUCAAAAGAUGUAUAGAGUUAAGGGAAAGAAGAAAAGACUGAGUGAGCCAACGUAUUUGCUUACUAUUUCUCCUAAUAGAAAACUUUUGGUAAAGGCUUGAUAGCAACUCUAAAGAGUAAGUUACAUUUCCAUAAUUUUCCAAAGACACAGUCAUUCAGUUAACUUUAUUGAGGGCUAUAUGUUGCUAGGUGCUGGACAUACACUCAUUCAAUUGCUGUGUGACUAAAGCCAGGUCUCUACUCUGUGCUAAGAGCUCCUAGUCCAGAAGGGGAACAGUUCAUUAAAGUUCGCUAGGUUCAUAAGUAGUAAGGAUAUUCCACUCAGAAUGAACAGAUAGAAUAUCUCAUGCCUCAAAAAAGAUCAUGGUCUGUGUGUGGACAAGCAUUUUGAUUUGGCUGGGUCAAAGAGUGCUUGUGGGAAAAGCUUGUUAGUGAAAAUAAAAGCAGAAUUUUCCCCCAGCUUUACACGAUGUGAUGUUACAGCAAAAGCCAGCCAAUUUGGAGUUGAAGCUUUGCUUUGUUUGGAAUGGGGAGACAGAAAAGGAAAGCUGUACGUUAAACAUGGGUUCUUUUAGGAAAUUUAAGAACAGAAAUAGCCUGAAGGCCCAAAGGCCAAUUGCUGAUAGGAUUUAGUGGGGUAAGGAGCUUAGGGGAGAAAGAUAUUUAGUUGUUUGGUAACAUCUUCUACAGAAGAAAUAGUAUUGGGUUGAAAAGCCAGGGAAGUGUAUUCUAAUCCUCAUUCUACGAAGUUCAUAUGACCUCAGGCAAGUUAAGUUAUUUCAAUUACUUUUAUGUAAAAGGAGAUUGUAUCAAAGGUUCUAAGUCCUCUCCUGCUCAAAAAUUCCAUGAUUCCGUGAUUCUUUGGCGAACUUGAAGUCAUGGAGUUUAACUUAACAUUCACCCAACAGAAUAUUUAGGAUCUACUAACUGCUUGGGAAACUGGAGUGAAACAUGGGUCAUGCUCUUAACCAAGCUCAAUUGUGCAGUGGGGCAGCCAGAAACGUAGCCUGCAGAAUGAGAAGUGCUGUAUUAAAGAAGUAAAGAGAAUGAGAAAAGAGCAUUACUAAUCAUCAAUUAACUAAUAAUGGAACUAUUAAUUCAGGUUGGAAUUGUGGGGCAUGAGGUAAAGGUCAAAGAAGGAAACAUUAGAUUGGUCCUGGAGAGAGCACUAGGGCCAGUGAUAAUGUAGAUAAUAUAGAUAAUGCUCUUGGCAAAAUACCUGGAAUUUGGGUGUUCAACAAAUAAUACCUAUUGUUAAAGUCACCGUAAAGAUAAUGAAUGGCUCCAUAAGGUUAGGGGCAGUAGUGCCCUGCCCCUACAAUGUGAGGUGCCUGGCUGCCUUCAUUCAGCUGACUCAAGGGGUUGCUCAAAUGAUUUCAGCUCACAGCUCCUCUCCCAGGUGACUUGGCAUCACCUCCACCAGAAGUAACUUGUAAGGUGUAAAUUGUUUCUAAUGUUUAGUUCUUCCUUGUGUGACAACCUGUUUUGUAAUUAUUUUUUCUCUCUUGUUUUUGCUAUGUCAAUCCUUGAAAUUAAGGAUCAUGUUUCACAGGCACUCUUGGAAGCAUACAAAUUUGACCUAAUGCAAUUAUUUCAUAAAAUAUAAAAAGGGCCCUUUUCCCAUAAGGUCCCUCAGAAUAGUUCCACAAGCAGACACCAGCUACCACAAAGAAGAUUGUUUCCUCUCAGUCUCUUUUAUUUUCUCUUGUUGGUGUGGGGUCCUGCCAGCCUCUCACAACCCUGAGAAGGGCAGUGGUAAGAGGGAAGAUGCCGAAUCCAAUUGCAGUAUUACAAUGAUUAUCUCUUAUCCCCUUAUCCACCAAAUGUUGUGACAAAAAGAGGCCUGCCUAAGGGCAAAUAAGGCAGACCCCAGAAUCCUUUGCACCUCCCUAGUUUGGGAGAUGCUUUUUCCUGCGCCUUUCAAUGAGUCUCAGUGUUAUCUGUGUACAUAACUGUGAGUAUGUAUAACUAAGAAUUUCACAGGAUCUAUCACUGAGUUACCUAAGAAGUUUCUGAAUUGAAUGAUUAUGUAAGCUGGGGUAUAGACCUCUACUUAUCCACCAUGACCAGCAGCAUCCCUCACAUGUAAAAAAUGUAGAAUAAAUAUGAAUUUAUUUUGUUGAUUUUAAGGUAC